rnacentral:rRNA from 1 species
GACGAACGCUGGCGGCGUGCUUAACACAUGCAAGUCGAACGGAAAGGCCCUGCUUUUGUGGGGUGCUCGAGUGGCGAACGGGUGAGUAACACGUGAGUAACCUGCCCUUGACUGUGGGAUAACUUCAGGAAACUGGGGCUAAUACCGGAUAGGAGCUCCUGCUGCAUGGUGGGGGUUGGAAAGUUUCGGCGUUUGGGGAUGUACUCGCGGCUUAUCAGCUUGUUGGUGGGGUAGUGGCUUACCAAGGCUUUGACGGGUAGCCGGCCUGAGAGGGUGACCGGCCACAUUGGGACUGAGAUACGGCCCAGACUCCUACGGGAGGCAGCAGUGGGGAAUAUUGCACAAUGGGCGGAAGCCUGAUGCAGCAACGCCGCGUGCGGGAUGACGGCCUUCGGGUUGUAAACCGCUUUCGCCUGUGACGAAGCGUGAGUGACGGUAAUGGGUAAAGAAGCACCGGCUAACUACGUG